GACGAACGCUGGCGGCGUGCCUAAUACAUGCAAGUCGAACGCAGUGGGGACGGGUGAGUAACACGUGGGUAACCUCCCCUCAGAGGGGAUAACACUUGGAAACAGGUGCUAAACCGAUACUGAUGGAUGGACCCGCGGUGCAUUAGCUAGUAGGUGGGGUAAAGGCUCACCUAGGCGACGAUCUCUAGCGGGGCUGAGAGAAUGAUCAGCCACACUGGGACGGAGACACGGCCCAGACUCCGACGGGAGGCAGCAGUGGGGAAUAUUGCACAAUGGGAGCAAGCCUGAUGCAGCCAUGCCGCGUGUAUGAAGAAGGCCUUAGGGUUGUAAAGUACUUUCAGCGGGGGGGCGUUACCCGCAGAAGAAGCACCGGCUAACUCCGUGCCAGCCGCCGCGGUAAUAC
rnacentral:rRNA from 1 species